rnacentral:rRNA from 1 species
UACGGGGGGGGCAAGCGUUGUUCGGAAUUACUGGGCGUAAAGGGCGCGUAGGCGGCCUUCUAAGUCAGACGUGAAAUCCCACGGCUUAACCGUGGAACUGCGUCUGAUACUGGAGGGCUUGAAUCCGGGAGAGGGAUGUGGAAUUCCAGGUGUAGCGGUGAAAUGCGUAGAUAUCUGGAGGAACACCGGUGGCGAAGGCGGCAUCCUGGACCGGUAUUGACGCUGAGGCGCGAAAGCUAGGGGAGCAAACGGG